UCACAGGACGCAGGGCCGGUCUUCCUCCCCCUGUCUCUCCUCCUCAUGUCACACUGCAGUAAUCAGCUACGUGCUCAGAGAAACCGUCACUUCCUGUGUCAACCGCUGUCGAUCUGUUUGUGCUGCCUGGUGCCUGUGUCAGCAUCAACAGGUCCUCAGGAUGAUGAACAGCAUGGUGGUUUUCCAGACAAUCCAGCUCUGUCGGUCCUUGUCGUGUUGUAGGUGGAAUUAUUGUGCGUUUGUAACAAGCGAUAGCAAAGUGAGAUAAAACUCUCUCCUCUGACAGAUCCCUGCUUUUACAGACUUUUGCUGAAUUUUUAAUCGCUCACAGUGCCAUCUGGUGAGCACCUGUGCAUAGGGACUGCUGGCUCUCUGUCCGAUAAGAAGUCUACAUAAAUCACAGCUGCACUUGGUUAAAAACAGCUUUAUUAGCAUCAAGACAUGCCGUUCAGUCCACACUACUCCAGUCACUUGUUCCUCCCCUUAUUAACUCCACAUGUGGGCUUUUGUCAUUUUAUUGUUCUCAUUUGUACCUGGUCAUAAAAUGUAAAUUACUUUCUGAAUGCUCAUAUCCUGUUUGACUGUUUUUCUCAUUCCUUUCUUGAUAAUCAUCCAGAUCUCUGCACACAAUUAAAUAUUAAAACCAAGCAUUUUUCAAGAUGGAA